rnacentral:rRNA from 1 species
AUUGAACGCUGGCGGCAUGCCUAACACAUGCAAGUCGAACGGAAACGAUGGGAGCUUGCUCCCAGGCGUCGAGUGGCGGACGGGUGAGUAAUACUUAGGAAUCUGCCCAUUAGUGGGGGACAACUAGAAGAAAUUCUAGCUAAUACCGCAUACGCCCUACGGGGGAAAGCGGGGGAUCUUCGGACCUCGCGCUAAUGGAUGAGCCUAAGUCGGAUUAGCUUGUUGGUGAGGUAAUGGCUCACCAAGGCGACGAUCCGUAGCUGGUCUGAGAGGACGAUCAGCCACACUGGGAUUGAGACACGGCCCAGACUCCUACGGGAGGCAGCAGUGGGGAAUAUUGGACAAUGGGCGCAAGCCUGAUCCAGCAAUGCCGCGUGUGUGAAGAAGGCCUGCGGGUUGUAAAGCACUUUCAGUAGAGAAGAAAAGCCUACGGUUAAUAACCGUGAGUCUUGACGUAACCUACAGAAGAAGCACCGGCUAACUCCGUG